rnacentral:rRNA from 1 species
UACGUAGGUGGCAAGCGUUGUCCGGAUUUACUGGGCGUAAAGAGCGCGCAGGCGGUUGGGUAAGUCGAAUGUGAAAGCCCCCGGCUUAACUGGGGAGGGUCAUUCGAUACUGUUCAACUUGAAGGCAGGAGAGGGCAGCAGAAUUCCCGGUGUAGUGGUGAAAUGCGUAGAUAUCGGGAGGAACACCGGUGGCGAAGGCGGCGACCUGGGUAGAUACUGACGCUGAGGUGCGAAAGCGUGGGGAGCAAACAGG